AAGCAGCAUAAUUGAACCUUCUGGAAGCCAUUAAUGCUGCUGUAAAAUCUUUCCCAAUCAGCAUCAAAACUUUCAAUCGUCUUGUUCUUUCACCUGCCAAAACUUCUUCAAGAUGAAAUCAUACUCUCGAGGAAACCCAUUGUUUUGUCAUUGCUUUACCUGCUACCUCUCGGUUUACCCAUUUCAUUUUCAUCCCUAUCAUUCAAUCCGAUUCCCCCCCUCGAUCCCUCCCACUCUGAUCUUCUGCAUAUUCUGGGACUCCCUCAACCAGGUAUAAUAUUCGUUUAUCCCUCAACGUUGCUUUUGCUAUCAUAUGCGCAAGGUUGUUUACUGCUCUUGGAACAUGUUCAAAUCUGCAUUCCUGGAAACUUGAUUGUAGCUUAUAAAUAUCACUGAUGUAGGCACACACCUUUGAUUUAUCUGAGAUAUUAGAUCUGCAUUUCUUUAUUAUCGAUAGUGAAUCUCCUUCAAUAAUGAUUUUUCUCCAUUUCAUUUCUUUACCUAUUUUGAUCGCUUUCCGGCUCGCGAGCGCCUCUGCCGCAAAAGUGGAUGCCACCUGUUGGUAAAUCAUCGAGCAUGAGAGUAAGACCUUGCCUUCGUUGUCUCUAGCCACAAUUCCCGUAGCCGAUUGUUUACUAUUUCCGUCAUAUGUUGCAUCAAAGUUUAUCUUCACAAUCUGGUCAGAUUUGCUCACUUUAUUAUGCACUCUAUUAUUUCGGUCUCCCCAAAUAGCCCAUAAUGUACAGCAAAACAUCCUACACUGAGAUUCCGAGUUCUUCACAAAAACUUCGGUGAGCCACUCUGCAAACUCCAUCUGUUGUUCUUGCACCAAAGCAUUACAUGGCAAUUCCUUCUAUACUGAUUUUGACACAGGACAUUCGCGGAAAUUGUGAUUUAUACUCUCUGAACCAACUCCACAUCGUGGACACACUGUAGUGUUUAUUAGCUUUUUCUGAAAUAGAUUAACUCGUGUAGCUAAAAAAUUCCACGAUAUCUUCUAGAUUGUAAUUUUGAGUUUUAAGGGAAGAUUUAGCAACCAUAAUUUCCUGAAGAAUUCAUUGUAGCCUUCUUGUAAAGCAUAAGCUCUAGGGUCAUCCUCGAUAUUCUGUAAUAGUUUAUAGGAGCUACGAACUAUGAAUUCACCUGACGCGUCAGCACUCCAGACCCGGAAGUCAUCAUGGGGAUCAUUUGCCAAUGGGAUACCAAUAAUCUUCUCCGCUACAUCCUCUGGAAAGGGAUCCAAUUGUCGCGGCCAACUGUAAUUAGUUCCCCCUGGCUACUCUCCAGCACAUACCUUCCUUUAAAAUACUCUUUGUAGCCCAAAUACUUUUCCACGUAUACGAAGCAUUGUUCCCCAAAUAUGAAUCUAGGAAAUUAUUAUUCGGGAAAUAUUUUGCUUUUAAAACUUGAGCUAAUAACGAAUCUGGAUAGGUCAAAAUUCUCCAACCCUGUUUAGCUAAUAAGGAGACAUUAAAUUUAGCCAAAUCUCUGAAUCCCAAACCACCUUCUCUUUUAGACCGGCACAAGUAUGUCCAUUUACACCAAUGAAUUCCUUUUCUCCCAUGAGCUUUU